rnacentral:rRNA from 1 species
UGGGGAAUCUUCCGCAAUGGGCGAAAGCCUGACGGAGCAACGCCGCGUGAAUGAAGAAGGCCUUCGGGUCGUAAAGUUCUGUCUUUAGGGAAGAAGUUUUUACUGCAAAUAGUGGUAAAAGUUGACGGUACCUAAGGAGGAAGCUCCGGCUAACUACGUGCCAGCAGCCGCGGUAAUACGUAGGGAGCAAGCGUUGUCCGGAAUUACUGGGCGUAAAGGGCGCGUAGGCGGGUAUUUAAGUCAGGUGUGAAAACUCUAAGCUCAACUUGGAGACUGCACUUGAAACUGGGUAUCUUGAGGGCAGGAGAGGAAAGUGGAAUUCCUAGUGUAGCGGUGAAAUGCGUAGAUAUUAGGAGGAACACCAGUGGCGAAGGCGACUUUCUGGACUGUACCUGACGCUGAGGCGCGAAAGCGUGGGGAGCAAACG